rnacentral:rRNA from 1 species
UACGUAGGGGGCGAGCGUUGUCCGGAUUUAUUGGGCGUAAAGAGCGUGUAGGCGGCCAGGUAGGUCUGCUGUGAAAACUCGAGGCUCAACCUCGAGACGUCGGCGGAAACCAUCUGGCUAGAGUCCGGAAGAGGAGAGUGGAAUUCCUGGUGUAGCGGUGAAAUGCGCAGAUAUCAGGAGGAACACCAGCGGCGAAGGCGGCGCUCUGGGCUGGCACUGACGCUGAGGAGCGAAAGCGUGGGGAGCGAACAGG